rnacentral:ncRNA from 1 species
CUGGACCUUCGGGGCAGGGUGAGCGCCUCACGGCGCAAUUCCCGACCGGUGGUGACGCGGCGGCGGCCGCUCAGCCCACGAGCUCCCCAUCGCGGGGGCAGACCCGGUGCGAUUCCGGGGCCGACGGUAGAGUCCGGAUGGGAGAAGGUCCCA